rnacentral:rRNA from 1 species
GAUGAACGCUGGCGGCGUGCCUAAUACAUGCAAGUCGAGCGAACAGACGAGGAGCUUGCUCCUCUGACGUUAGCGGCGGACGGGUGAGUAACACGUGGAUAACCUACCUAUAAGACUGGGAUAACUUCGGGAAACCGGAGCUAAUACCGGAUAAUAUAUUGAACCGCAUGGUUCAAUAGUGAAAGACGGUUUUGCUGUCACUUAUAGAUGGAUCCGCGCCGCAUUAGCUAGUUGGUAAGGUAACGGCUUACCAAGGCAACGAUGCGUAGCCGACCUGAGAGGGUGAUCGGCCACACUGGAACUGAGACACGGUCCAGACUCCUACGGGAGGCAGCAGUAGGGAAUCUUCCGCAAUGGGCGAAAGCUUGACGGAGCAACGCCGCGUGAGUGAUGAAGGUCUUCGGAACGUAAAACUCUGUUAUUAGGGAAGAACAAAUGUGUAAGUAACUAUGCACGUCUUGACGGUACCUAAUCAGAAAGCCACGGCUAACUACGUG